GUUUACUUUUGGCUGGCUGGUGGAUGUUAGUACUCUGCCAUUUUGGGUCUGGGCACAGCCAUUUUGAAAGUCAAGGUCACAGUCACUUUGAAGGUUACAAGAGCAGCCAUUUUAUGCAGGUGUUUGGAUCUGUCGACUGUCUGGUCUGAAUCCCCACUUCAGUUGUGUUUGUGUUGGUACUGCCAUGUGGAUGGUCCGGAGCUGGGGCAAACAAUGACAGAAAAAGAGAGGAAAAAGACAACAAGGGAGCCUGAUCUACUCUCUUUUAUAUUUAACCCAGUGCACAUCUCUAAGCUUUAUAUUUUGACAUUUUAAAAGCCCAUGUCUAGGUUUUCAAGUGAGUUCUUUCCCCACUGGAAUUAGAGAUUUAGCUAUCAACGCUGAAGGACAAUUAUAUGUAGAGAUGGUCAGUUGGAUCAGUUUACUCAAGUUCUGAGUGAGUGUUUUCCCAUGUUUCAAAAAUUUAUUCCACCAAGCUAACUAACAUAAGCUAUGCAAGCAAAUUAAACUUGCUACCCAAGGGAUGACAUAUAAGCUGGAGAGACUGCCUAAUUCAUACACCGUUUAAAACAGAACCACUGCUGAUAGCUGUAAUUAGUUCCAUAGCAACCCUUCCUCCUGCUGCUGCAAGACUGAGGCUGCUAGUCCAACUCCUAUAACAGGAGAUAUAAAACUAUAUUUGAAAGAAUACUACUGAACAGAACCACACAUUAUAUGGGAUGUGCACCAAGAUAUGACGUGGAAAGAACAUGAAGAGUCCCUUGUCAAUGCAGUUCAUAACUGUGCUAGCACAAUUCUAUGUACUCCUUCUUUGUUAA